rnacentral:rRNA from 1 species
GACGAACGCUGGCGGCGUGCUUAACACAUGCAAGUCGAGCGGUAAGGCCCUUUCGGGGGUACACGAGCGGCGAACGGGUGAGUAACACGUGGGUGACCUGCCCUUAGCUCUGGGAUAAGCCUGGGAAACUGGGUCUAAUACCGGAUAUGACUCCAUAACGCAUGUUGUGGGUGGAAAGCCUUGUGCGGCUAGGGAUGGGCCCGCGGCCUAUCAGCUUGUUGGUGGGGUGAUGGCCACCAAGGCGACGACGGGUAGCCGGCCUGAGAGGGCGACCGGCCACACUGGGACUGAGACACGGCCCAGACUCCUACGGGAGGCAGCAGUGGGGAAUCUUGCGCAAUGGGCGAAAGCCUGACGCAGCGACGCCGCGU